UAGAACUUCCAGUAACCCCUAGGAGCAUCAAGUGACCCAGAGAGGUAACCCCCUCCACCAGGGUCCAUUGCAUCCAUUGCUCUCUCACAGCAACUGAGGCUCAUGGGACUGGAGUGGAGUCGGUAGGAAGGAACAGUCUUUGAAGUUAGAUGCGCCAGGUUGUAACCCCACUUCCACCAAUUGGAGGAGACAUGUGAACUAAGAUGUGAAGAACCAGAAAGAAAAUGGGAGCCAGGAGACAUUCUUAAAGGAGGCUCAGGGCUCUCAUAUGGAAGAUGAUUGUGCAUUUGAAGAAUGAAAGGAGGCCAGGGAAGGUGAAUCACAGAAAACAAGGAGAUUGACAAAGGGGCUGAGGAGGAAGCAAGCUUGUGAAUCAUGUGGUAACUUUGUGAGACAAGCCUCAAAUUUUACCACUGUACCAAGAAAUGAAAGCCAGAAUGUGGAAUUGGAGCUGGUAAUGACGACGUCAGGACAGGUUCAAAGGAAGCCCAUCACUUGAGUAAAAAUUUAUAGCCCUGCUUGUGCUGUGCUGUGCUGUGCUGUGAGUUUCAGUUCCGGGCCAGCAAAAGAUUUAUCAAAGGAAAGCAACAAGAUCCCUGCUCAGGAACCCACUGUGGGCCAAUCAACAGCUUCCCAAAACGAGUCAGGGAGUUCCAGAAGCUCCCAUUCCGGUGCCAGCUGAGAAUCCAUUUGGAUAAUAACGGAGUAAAAACUCUGGUUUGGAGAAAGUUUCUGUAAUGUUUUUCUUUUUCCUUUUUGGUGGAAGGGAGAAUAAAGGAGGAUAUUGCCUGGUAAGCAUGCAAAGAAAAAAAGUCACGCCAAUUUCACUAGAAUUGCCCAGAACCUCAACUCUGGUGAACUGCAGGUGACAACACUUCACACUGUUUACAUGAUUGGGGCUUCCCUGGAAACUGCGCUGACCCUGAGAUGAUUGAACAUUUAGAGUAAAACCCUUGAUGUAGUUCAUAAAAUUGGAUUCAAAUGAAAAGUUUAAUGUGGAGUCAUUCAAAAAUAACACUAAGAGCUCUUCCCUGAAUUCAAAAGAAAAAGGAAGGAAAACAUGUUAGUCUUAGCAGGAGCCAAGGCUGCAGGUGGGGGAAGAUGGAGAGGACAGUGUUUGGGUUUUAUUAUGUUUACUUUUCUCUUACGGAAGAAUAGAAGAUGGAUGACUUGAUGCCUGAGGUAAUUCAGUAUGUUUCACCAAUUUGGAGAUGGUCAUUUGUCCAUACUUAAGUCUCAGUAAUUAUGUUGAAAUAUUAUAAUUUCUGUAAGCUGGGAAGGUUACAAUGUGGUGGUUGUCAUUGCCCGGGCAUGCACAAACUUGGUCGUGAUUCCUGGUGGCAUGAUUAGACAGACAACUGCAACCCCUUGACACUUAAUUCCAGAAAUCAUUUAAGAAUCACUUGAAAAAGGAAUAUAUUAUUGUUCUCCUUCCAAUAACCAAGUGUCUUCUGAAAACCUUUCAUUGUCACUUUCUGGUAAUUGAACAAUGAGAACACAUGGACACAGGAAGGGGAACAUCACACACUGGGAACUGUUGUGGGGUGGGGGGAGGGGGGAGGGAUAGCAUUGGGAGAUAUACCUAAUGCUAAAUGACGAGUUAAUGGGUGCAGCACACCAACAUGGCACAUGUAUGCAUAUGUAACAACCCUGCACAUUGUGCACAUGUACCCUAAAACUUAAAAUAUAAUAAUAAUAAAAUUUAAAAAAA
rnacentral:lncRNA from 10 species